CCCUUAGAUGUUCCGGGCCGCACGCGCGCUACACUGAUGAAUUCAACGAGCUCCUAACCUAGGCCGAAGGGUCCGGGUAAUCUUUGAAAUUUCAUCGUGAUGGGGAUAGAUUAUUGCAAUUAUUAAUCUUCAACGAGGAAUUCCUAGUAAGCGCGAGUCAUCAGCUCGCGUUGAUUACGUCCCUGCCCUUUGUACACACCGCCCGUCGCUCCUACCGAUUGAAUGGUCCGGUGAAAUGUUCGGAUCGCGGCAAAUCGGACGGGUAACCGUCAGGUUCGCUGCGAGAAGUUCAUUAAACCUUAUCAUUUAGAGGAAGGAGAAGUCGUAACA
rnacentral:rRNA from 1 species